UUAGAGUUUGAUCCUGGCUCAGGAUGAACGCUAGCGGCAGGCUUAAUACAUGCAAAUCGUGGGGCAGCGCAGUGUAGCAAUACAUGGGCGGCGACCGGCAAACGGGUGCGGAACACGUACGCAACUUACCCUGAACUGGGGAAUAGCCCGGGGAAACCCGGAUUAAUACCCCGUAAUAUUAUGGAGUGGCAUCACUUUAUAAUUAUAGCUCCGGCGGUUCGGGAUGGGCGUGCGGCUGAUUAGGUAGUUGGUGUAGGUAACGGCUCACCAAGCCUGCGAUCAGUAACUGGUGUGAGAGCACGACCAGUCACACGGGCACUGAGACACGGGCCCGACUCCUACGGGAGGCAGCAGUAAGGAAUAUUGGUCAAUGGACGCAAGUCUGAACCAGCCAUGCCGCGUGGAGGAUGAAGGCCCUCUGGGUUGUAAACUUCUUUUAUAGGGGACGAAAUCAACUAUUCUUAGUUGUCUGACGGUACCCUAGGAAUAAGCACCGGCUACUCCGUGCCAGCAGCCGCGGUAAUACGGAGGGUGCAAGCGUUAUCCGGAUUCACUGGGUUUAAAGGGUGCGUAGGCGGGCAGGUAAGUCAGUGGUGAAAUCUCCGAGCUUAACUCGGAAACUGCCGUUGAUACUAUCUGUCUUGAAUACUCGGGAGGUGAGCGGAAUAUGUCAUGUAGCCGGUGAAAUGCUUAGAUAUGACAUAG
rnacentral:rRNA from 1 species